rnacentral:rRNA from 1 species
GAUGAACGCUGGCGGCGUGCCUAAUACAUGCAAGUCGAGCGAACAGACGAGGAGCUUGCUCCUCUGACGUUAGCGGCGGACGGGUGAGUAACACGUGGAUAACCUACCUAUAAGACUGGGAUAACUUCGGGAAACCGGAGCUAAUACCGGAUAAUAUAUUGAACCGCAUGGUUCAAUAGUGAAAGACGGUUUUGCUGUCACUUAUAGAUGGAUCCGCGCCGCAUUAGCUAGUUGGUAAGGUAACGGCUUACCAAGGCAACGAUGCGUAGCCGACCUGAGAGGGUGAUCGGCCACACGGGAACUGAGACACGGACCAGACUCCUACGGGAGGCAGCAGUAGGGAAUCUUCCGCAAUGGGCGAAAGCCUGACGGAGCAACGCCGCGUGAGUGAUGAAGGUCUUCGGAUCGUAAAACUCUGUUAUUAGGGAAGAACAAAUGUGUAAGUAACUAUGCACGUCUUGACGGUACCUAAUCAGAAAGCCACGGCUAACUACGU